AUUGAACGCUGGCGGCAUGCCUUACACAUGCAAGUCGAACGGCAGCACGGGGCAACCUGGUGGCGAGUGGCGAACGGGUGAGUAAUGCAUCGGAACGUACCUUUCAGUGGGGGAUAACGUAGCGAAAGUUACGCUAAUACCGCAUAUUCUGUGAGCAGGAAAGCAGGGGAUCGCAAGACCUUGCGCUGAUUGAGCGGCCGAUGUCAGAUUAGCUAGUUGGUGAGGUAAAGGCUCACCAAGUCGACGAUCUGUAGCGGGUAUGAGAGGAUGAUCCGCCACACUGGAACUGAGACACGGUCCAGACUCCUACGGGAGGCAGCAGUGGGGAAUUUUGGACAAUGGGGGCAACCCUGAUCCAGCCAUGCCGCGGGAGUGAAGAAGGCCUUCGGGUUGUAAAGCUCUUUCGGCCGGGAAGAAAUCGCACGGGCUAAUACCCUGUGUGGAUGACGGUACCGGAAUAAGAAGCACCGGCUAACUACGUGCCAGCAGCCGCCGCAGUAA
rnacentral:rRNA from 1 species